rnacentral:rRNA from 1 species
ACGGGAUGCUUAGGCAUCUAGUGGCGGACGGGUGAGUAACGCGUGAGAAUCUGGCUCCAGGUCGGGGAUAACAGUUGGAAACGACUGCUAAUACCGGAUGUGCCGAGAGGUGAAAGAUUUAUUGCCUGGAGAUGAGCUCGCGUCUGAUUAGCUAGUUGGUGGUGUAAGGGACCACCAAGGCCUCGAUCAGUAGCUGGUCUGAGAGGAUGAUCAGCCACACUGGGACUGAGACACGGCCCAGACUCCUACGGGAGGCAGCAGUGGGGAAUUUUCCGCAAUGGGCGAAAGCCUGACGGAGCAAUACCGCGUGAGGGAGGAAGGCUCUUGGGUCGUAAACCUCUUUUCUCAAGGAAGAAGAAAGUGACGGUACUUGAGGAAUAAGCAUCGGCUAACUCCGUGCCAGCAGCCGCGGUAAUACGGAGGAUGCAAGCGUUAUCCGGAAUGAUUGGGCGUAAAGGGUCUGCAGGUGGAACUGAAAGUCUGCUGUUAAAGAGUUUGGCUUAACCAAAUAAAAGCGGUGGAAACUACAGAACUAGAGUGCGGUAGGGGCAAAAGGAAUUCCUGGUGUAGCGGUGAAAUGCGUAGAUAUCAGGAAGAACACCGGUGGCGAAAGCGUUUUGCUAGACCGUAACUGACACUGAGGGACGAAAGCUAGGGGAGCGAAUGGGAUUAUAUACCCCAGUAGUCCUAGCCGUAAACGAUGGAUACUAGACGUGGC